rnacentral:rRNA from 1 species
GAUGAACGCUGGCGGCGUGCCUAAUACAUGCAAGUCGAGCGAACGGACGAGAAGCUUGCUUCUCUGAUGUUAGCGGCGGACGGGUGAGUAACACGUGGAAACCUACCUAUAAGACUGGGAUAACUUCGGGAAACCGGAGCUAAUACCGGAUAAUAUUUUGAACCGCAUGGUUCAAAAGUGAAAGACGGUCUUGCUGUCACUUAUAGAUGGAUCCGCGCUGCAUUAGCUAGUUGGUAAGGUAACGGCUUACCAAGGCAACGAUGCAUAGCCGACCUGAGAGGGUGAUCGGCCACACUGGAACUGAGACACGGUCCAGACUCCUACGGGAGGCAGCAGUAGGGAAUCUUCCGCAAUGGGCGAAAGCCUGACGGAGCAACGCCGCGUGAGUGAUGAAGGUCUUCGGAUCGUAAAACUCUGUUAUUAGGGAAGAACAUAUGUGUAAGUAACUGUGCACAUCUUGACGGUACCUAAUCAGAAAGCCACGGCUAACUACGUG